rnacentral:lncRNA from 1 species
UCUCGACAUGGUGUUGUGUUACGGAUCACAUCGACAAAGUACUGGAUUUGCCGCACACUUAAUUUCCGUGCAUAAAAAUACUCCUGCAUGGGCAAACCGACCGAAUACCUCUUGAAAACAAGAGAGCUUAUUCAAGUUUUCUUGAAAACAACACCGCCAUUGCCACACUCACACACAAAGCGAACCACUUCCGUGUAAGAAAACCGAUCGGAGAAAGGUGUGAGCCACCGAAAGGUUGCACAAAAAAUUCCGUCCUCCGUGAGUCCGCGUCUUGUAGGUGGUACUGGAAAAGCUAAGAUCGGUGAACUUGAAGCCGAUUGACUCAGCUGAAGGAGAAAUCUGGCCAAAACGAUCAACAUCUUGGCCGUUAAAGCUCAAAAUUCCACGAGGUCAAUCGACGCCCAACCAGAGUACCCAAAUCAACUGGCUACUGCGUUGUGCCGAAAACCUUCUCAGCUCGAUCUAGAAAGCUUUUCCACCCGACACGACACGAGGCUAAAAUACCCGGAGAACGGUUUCCUAUUGGAUCCAAAUCCAAUCAGAUAAGACCCGUCAAUCCAUCGAACUGAAUUGAAGCACAUCAUCGCAUCAGCACGAUUCCCUACAAUAAUCAGCCUCGCAUCCUCGCAGCGUGAAGAGACGAAGCCUUCAAGAGAAGGCUUCAUUACCGGAUUCCAUUCGCCGGCAAAGCGGCGACAGAUAAUCUUCGGUGCGUUUGCUUUGGUCGAGGCAGCGAGCACUGACAGGCCAACGGGCCACUGCCCCUGUGAUCACCAUUCGGGACAAGCCGUCCAUCGGUAGGCUGUAAUCUAGAAGGAGCCUCCGCUCACAGAGCGACAGAAGAUCUCAUCGUGCCCUACAUUAGACGAUGACAAGUGCACCGGUGUGUAGUGUUGGCCAGGAGAAAACGACGCGCGGAGUGUGGCUCGGCCGAGUGUAGUAGAAGCUCGAUUUAGGACGAGUGCCACAGUCAAGCAUCAGCACUGUCAGGGUAGAGCAUCCCACGAAUCGGGACAUCGAGAGUCAAGCCAUUGAACGAUAUUGGCGAUCUGAGUGAUCGCGCCUUCGAAGCAUAGGCGAUUGCAUGUUCGCACAGAAGCGGCGUCAUCAUCACGGGGCCCCGUCCAGCAGCAGAGCAUCGAAUGCAGCAAGGUACCGUUAGUCUUAAGUAAACAUAAGAGCAAAAAUGUUUAUAUGUAGCAAUAUAUGUCAAAUGCCAUGAA